CUUUUAAACGACGUCACUUAGCGAAUUCUCAGAAAAAUGAACCUCAAAGUUGGGGUUUGUGCAAUUAGGGUUAGGGUUUUGGCCAUCGAUCCUUUAUCCUUGCCUAUUUAUGUGCCGUCACACUCCUCUGUAAUUAUCUUCCUCUUUACUAUACCUGCAUUCUUAGAAGCAGGAAUUUAUGCGUAAUUUACAUGUAUCUAUGUAGAUAGAAAGGGAAAAAGAGAGGGUUGGUUGCGAUGAUUAGAAAAGAAAUUCCUCGUUCUGAAUGCUAUAGCCAUGGCAUGACAGACUCCUUUACACCCAUAGAAUAUGAGCACCGCCCUCAAAUUUCUCUUUAUUUUGGGUAAUUAAUUGCUUUAUUUAUAGAUUUGGUUUGUUGGCUUAUUCUGGGAUUAAUAGUAAUUUGUGUGGGUUAAUAUGAGUUGGAAAUUUCGCUGCUUUUUGCAAUUAUAUACUGUUUUUGAUUUGAAGAUUUGAUUAAGGUCUAAAUUCCCAAAUUUUCAAAGCUUUUCAAUUGAUUUAUAGUGUAGUCGCUACAAAAGAUUAUUGAAAAUUUUGUAGGAGUUGAAUUUGAUUUGCAAGGCAUUACACUUAAAUUGCAUUGUGUUGAUUCAACUCCGUAAAAUUAUUUGGUGGUGUUUAAAGCCUUAAUUUGAUGGAAGAUGCAAUUUCGUAGAUUAGGGUUACGCACACCUCCAUAUCAUUUUUUUUUUUUUUUAAUUUUCAACUGCAUCUAUUUCUAAUUUUCUUAUGUUUAUCUCGACUUUCGCACACGCGAACUUGAGCUUGAGUUGUUUGAUGACUUAUCAACAAAUUUCUCAUUAUUCAAGACCCAGAAUUGAGAUAUGAAUAUGAUCUUGGAAUUCCUUCCUCAAAAAUGACUUUUGUCUUCUGCAAUGGAUUUUCUUUUUGCUUUUAUCAUAUAGAAGGGAUUGCUCUGCUUCCAUGGAUGAAAAAGUGAAUUUAAUUUGUUUUAUUUUAUGAUACAACUUGGUUUCCGAUUUUUAAAAACUUCUGGAAAAAAACAUGAAGUUGUCCAUCGGUAUCACUUAGUAUAUCCUGUGUAUUUAUUCAUACCUUGCAGAUAGUGGCUUGGUACUAGCAGGAAACCUUGUAUCACAAUCUUUGGCUUGCAGGAAGAAUGUGGACCUUGCUCAUUAAUCAUUAUAGCUCUAUGGAUGCUGAUUGUUUGCAAUUACUUGGAAGAUGUAAUAUUAUCCAUCUUCUGGUCCAUUCAACUUAUUGUUUAACGCUGGACAAGCUUUUGGGUAAUUUGAAUUUAGCUGAAGAAAGAGGUAUAUCAGAAACUUAAAAUUGAACUGGAAGUCCAGAGGGGCUAGUGCUGAUACAGAUUAUCAUUUGUAUUGUAUCUUUGUUGACUGCAGAUUAGUUGUAGGAUAUUUACGGGGAAGAAGUGCACAGCUAAGGAGGUUAUUAAUCCGUAGAAUUUGUUAGAUACAUAGUUGAUUGGUAGUUUAUUUGGAUGUGCCUCAAAGUUGGCGUUUUCAUUUUUGACUGAGAGAGCAGUAUAGAAGGCUUUCUCAACUUUGAAAGUACAAAGCUGUUGAUUUUAAGGACAUGUUGGCAAAUUCUGCUUCCACGGAAACUCUUUCUUGCAAGAAAUUUUAGUUAGAUGUGAUUGUAUUUUUUUAACUGGCCUUACUUGAAAAGGCCCUUAAGUUUGUCUAAAAUUUGGCCCAAAUGUUAACAAAAUUUGUAUCAAA